rnacentral:rRNA from 1 species
UACGUAGGGUGCGAGCGUUAAUCGGAAUUACUGGGCGUAAAGCGUGCGUAGGUGGUUGUUUAAGUCUGUUGUGAAAGCCCUGGGCUCAACCUGGGAACUGCAGUGGAAACUGGACAACUAGAGUGUGGUAGAGGGUAGCGGAAUUCUCGGUGUAGCAGUGAAAUGCGUAGAGAUCGGGAGGAACAUCCAUGGCGAAGGCAGCUACCUGGACCAACACUGACACUGAGGCACGAAAGCGUGGGGAGCAAACAGG